GAGUUUGAUCGUGGCUCAGAUUGAACGCUGGCGGCAUGCCUUACACAUGCAAGUCGAACGGCAGCACGGGAGCUUGCUCCUGGUGGCGAGUGGCGAACGGGUGAGUAAUGCAUCGGAACGUAUCCUGGAGUGGGGGAUAACGUAGCGAAAGUUACGCUAAUACCGCAUAUUCUGUGAGCAGGAAAGCGGGGGACCUUCGGGCCUCGCGCUCUUGGAGCGGCCGAUGUCGGAUUAGCUAGUUGGUGAGGUAAGGCUCACCAAGGCGACGAUCCGUAGCAGGUCUGAGAGGAUGAUCUGGCCACACUGGAACUGAGACACGGUCCAGACUCCUACGGGAGGCAGCAGUGGGAAUUUGGACAAUGGGGGCAACCCUGAUCCAGCCAUGCCGCGUGAGUGAAGAAGGCC
rnacentral:rRNA from 1 species